CUGAGCUGAGCACCCUUCUGACCCAGCACAUCACACUGGGCCCACACCCUGGGACUCUGGGCCCUUGGCUCCUGAAGUCACCUGAACAGGGAAGAAGCCCUGUACCCUUCGCAGUCAUCUUCAACCUCCCUCCUUCCCCAGCUCUCAGCAGCAGCUGCUCUAUUUCCUAUAUCUAUGGACUCACCUAUUCUAGGCUCUCCAUUUAACCAAAAUGCUCCAUGGAAUGAGGCCUGAGAACUUCAUUUACUGAUAGACUAGGAACAAGACCUCGGAUCACCAGAACACCCAUAUGUGGGGCCAGCAGUGACCGCAGGCGGUCCUUACUUCCGGAAGUGUAACCUCUCUGUGAGACCUGCCCAGAGCCCAGAGUGGCCCGUAUGUCCCUUGGCUGGAGGGAACUGAUGACAGGAGGUUGCUCAGAGCAGUGACAGAAGAGGAAACAUGGCAGUGGGACCAGUGCCAUCCGGGGAGUUACUCCUCCAUCCUUCGAACUGGGAAAAGGAAAGAAAAGGAAGAAAGCGAGAAAAGAAAAGGCAAGGGGGAAAGCCCUCAAGACAAAGAGACAGGCACCAUCUGGGCAACAGGAAGGGAAGAAAUGCCACUGUCUGGAGUCGGGCUCUGGGGAAGCCGCGAUGGAGGGGCAGGGCCCAGGGUGGCUGGGCUGGAAGAGCUCCGUGUUGCUGGGUCUGGCUCAAGUCCAGGCCUCAUCAUUUACUUGGCUCUGGAGUCUUGGGCAGGUGACAGGGGCCGGGGUGCUGUGCCUCUGUUUCCCCGUCUGGGAAAAGGCGAUUUCACACCAGUGCCCUGGGGUUGCUGGGAGACCUGCCGGGGCAGCGUGGACAUUGCUGGGCCUGUCACUGCCCCUAGGGUCCCCGCUCUCCUGUAAUUCCUGCUGCAUCUCCGGGUGGUGAGGGGACCCGGAGGCUGAGUGGGUGGUGCUGCGGAUAUGCCUUCCUCCCACGGGAGGCAGCCCCUGUCUGUCCCGGCUCUGCCUGGCCCCUUCUCGGGGUGCUCGGCUUCCCCAAGGUGGUCGGACUCUACCUCCCAGGGCUGGUGCUCUCAUUCCUGCCUUUGCUACCCUAAGUGGGCAGCAACAAAGGCAACGUAGAGAGUGAGGUAUGGGGAUGACCCCGGGAAUGUUAACAAGAGAACUUAGUGCGGCUGAGCUGUGCACCCUGCUCUAUUAUCCAUCUUCUUGACACUGUGCUGCAGCAGUGACUGGGACGCCCCUUUUACAGAUGGAAGCAUGGAGGCCCAAACUCAGCCCCAGCCUGUGCUUCUUGCAGGCUGUGAAGAGGACUUUGGCUGAGGCUCCUGCCUAUGGCCUUUCUGCCUAGGGAUACUUGAGCCACAUCCCAGCCUGUGGAGCAGCCCCUAGGCCCCUUCCCUACCCAGGGAAGGUACCUAGCAGUACUUGAGUGUGAAGAUUCCCAACAGAGCCCUGCUCUAGGCAGAUGGGCCUGGGGCUCACUGGCAAGAAGCUGGGGUGUGUGGGUGUGUCUCUGUCCCACCAUCUGGAAGAACCUGCUUCAGAGCACAGUGGCCCUAGGCACAAGCUAGAAAACAUCACCGGUCCAGGAUGGGCAGGCAAAGCUCCAGAGUCUCUGGAAAUGCUCCGGCUGCCUUUGGGAUGCUCUCCCCGGGCCCACCUUGGACCUGUGGCCCUAGUCCCUCUGGUGUCUGUGAGGGCCUAGGGAGGUGCUAGAAGCUCUUGGCCUGGCCCCAGUUCUGCCCUGUGCCCCCGGGGGUUUAACUCUGUCCCGAGGUAGACACUGCGGUUUUAAUUAUAGCGCAGAGCAAAGCCUUGUGUAAUGCUGGGUGAUUCAUCUUUCUAACCUUGGCUCCUGGGUGGGGUCUGAGGACCUCAGCACCUGUCUGGAGUGAAAAGGAGGAGGUCAGAGGGGACAAGAGAUUCUCUUGGCUUCCUCAGACUUCCCCAAAACACCUCCCUUGCUUGAUCAUUCCUUGCAUCCGAGAGACUCUUGCCUCACUUUCAGUCAGGUGAAGCAGAAGCCAGGCUGGGGGCUUCUCGCUGGAAGCUGUGGGCUGUGAGUUCGAGACUUCGCUCACCUUAGAGUUUCUAUGUGACCGGCAGCAACACCCUGGCUCCGUGGGCCUCAGUUUCCACACUUAUCCAAGGGGGCUUGUGUGUUUUGUCCCCUGGUUGUCCCUAAAGGUGUCAUGAAGGUUAAAUAUUUGUGACCUGUGCCUAAUUUACUUCUGCUUAUGCUUCCCAGAAGCCCUCGCCUGGAUGACUUUUGCUCAUAACCUGCCGCUGGGGAGGGAACUCUGGAGCAUUGGCAGGGACCCUGGCGGGGUCUGAAUGUUGCUAAACCUGGCAGGCACAGGGAAGGUACCUAGCAGGUGGUGGCUGAAUGAAAGACACCUUCCCUGGGGUGAACAUUUUGGAAUGUGACCCAACCAAGGUCACACAGCCAGCGGCUGUGAUGUGUGGACCCUGAGGGGGAGUGACACAGGCCCCCAUUGUGCAAUCUGUAUGCACAUGUCCAGGGGCAGGGGCUGGGAUUAGCACCCAGGGGCACAGGGCCACCAGGAGAGGCCUCCUGCUCCUGGGAGGCUGGGCAGGCCACUACCGGGCCAGCAGUCCUCAAGGGCAGGGCUGGUGAGAAACUGACACCCCGAACACUUGGUCCUGUCACUCCCGGGGGAUUUGGUGAGUGGGUGGGUCACUUGUCGGGUACAUGCUGUGCUGGGCAGCUGGGAGGUAGUGGACUUGGGACAUUCUUUAUGAGCCUGACACCGUGGGAUAGGAGGAUAUGGUAUACAUCAGUCACUUCAUAAGUGUUCACUUGUUUUUGUAUUUAUUUGUUUUUUGAGGCAGGGUUUCACCGUGCACUGCAGGCUGGCCUUGAACUUGCUCG